UCUGUAACAAGGAUGCAGGGAGCUCCCUGUGCCCCCUAUCAGACUUGCUCAUUGUGUCAAAGCAGACAACAACAGAGAAAAAUAAUUAGAGAAGCCCAAAUGAGAACCAUACCCCUGCAUCCUUGGAGGAUGGGCUGGAGUGUUUGGCCAGCCUCUGCUGGGGUUGGUGCUGCCAAGCAGACCUACACAGCCAGCAGUGAGGUAUCACCAAGGACCUGAGCCUGAUCUGGUGGAGCUGCAUGAGCCAAGUGUGCUGCUGGAAACUGCUUUGCUCUGCAGUAGACUCCUCACUUCCCAUGAUUCGCCACCAUGGUUGGACAUAUGUGGAUGUCAGUGGGAAGUAUCUGUACCUAGGUUUGGAUAUGAAUGGGAAGAAAACAGUGUAUUUCCAUGAAGGAUCUGGGAAUACAGCAAAGGAGAAGGAAUACCUGUAUGCUUGUGAAAAAGUUGGCCUCAGACUGGAUUUCUAUAGUGUGUUUAUGGUUUGUAUGGUGUAUGUGUGUAUUUUCUGUGGUUUAUGCAGGGGUAAGGGCAUGUGGAGGUAUGUAUUUAUACACAAGAUGGUUUAGCAUGAAGGUAGCCUGGGAAUAUAGAUAAGACUGUAGAAAAAUGUGUGUUCUGGGGUGGAACAUAAUGAGGGGCAGCAUCUGAGGGAGGGGGAUUGUGCCUUCAGCUUAACAGAGUUAUGCAAAUACAUGGUAAUAGACAUGCUGGUGGGAGGGGGAAUGUUCACACAACUUAUUUUCUCUCCUAGUCUUAUUCAGUAAGUUUGUAGAUAUGUGUAUGCAUAUAUCCUCGCUGGGGAUACUUUACCAAAUACUGGAAUACCAGCUAGAGCAGCUUGUUAGCAGCCUGCCCUCUGUUAGAGCUAAUGGGUUGCAGGCAUUGAUUUUUACUUUUUUCCCCUAUUGAUUAGGAGGCUGCUGUACACACAAACCUAGCACAGCAUGGAAAGAGAAAGGGAGGCAAAACAGUUCACAUCCCAGCAAUUCAUCAUGGUGGAAAAUUCAUCUUGGGAACCCCAGUUUUCUCCCACUAUCUGUUUCAAAUGAAGAAGGAAGCCUUUCCCUUUUGAAGAAAUCAACCCACAGGGCUCAUGAGAUGAUAACACUUUGUUUUUAUUGCAACCAUCUCUGGGUAGCAAACAUUUCAAAGGUUACCAUUCAAUGGAAGAAAAAGGAGUCUUGCAGGAAGAGCACAGGAGUUGUAUCUUCAAUCUGGAACAGAUUGCUUGGUUAUAUAUGGGUACCCAACUCAUUUAUAACAGCACCCAGAUCCCACUAAAAUCAGUGCAAAUACUUUGAUUUUGGUGGGCUUUGCUACUAUAUUCUGAACUUUUCAGUGCUUCGGUGCCUCUGUAAACUAAUGGACUUUGUAAGAGUGUUAUGAGGCUAAAUGAGUUGUUUGUACAACAUUUAGCUUGGAAGACGAUAUAGGUCAGAAGCUGAGGGAAUUACGUAUUGCAGCUUUAUAACCUCUUACUUGGUCCCUGCCAGAGUUCCAGUCCUGUCUAAAAUGGAGUUUUUUUAGGCACUCUCAGGGCAGCACCAGCGCCACUUUUGCAUGGAAACCUACUAAUUUUAAUUAUUAGACCUCUGUGCUCUGUAUCUCUCUUCUUUCUUCCUUCCUUUCCAGUCACAGUGUUACACUAGAGAUGACUCUUCUGUAGUAUCUGAAUAUUUGAUGUUUGAACUGCCUUUUAUGUUGAUCCUCAAGUUAUAUGAACCUGAAGAAAAGAGGACCACUGAGGCUAUUUCCAUCUGUAUUUAUCUCCCUAUCUCUAUCUCAUUUAAAUCUCUAUUAUCCCAACCUGCAAUUCUCUGGCAAAACCCCACAAAUCUUCUUUCCUUGGUUUACUAGUUUGUUAAAUUGGCCUAAGAAAACCAUGAUGUGAAUAAUGUUUCUUAAGUGCUUUGGGACCCUCAGCUUUGGAUGCCAGUGAUGACUUCUCUGAUCAUCCCCUCUGCUUGUCUAACCAUACAGACUUCUCUCAGCUUUCUCUUUUCAUUCUCUUUCUGCAUCAGAUCUCACUUCUGUCUUCUCUGCCCCAUUGGCUUCGAGUUCUAUAAUCAUCACCCUAACCCCAAUUUAUUUUUCCUAACAUCUCCUCUGCUGGUGCAUCUGUCCAUUAACACCUCUGCUCUGCCUGCAAAUGCAGCUGCAUCAACUCCAUCUCCUUUACAUCUCAUAACAGCAGCUCCUUCUGAGCUGGCCUCCCCAGGAUGAAGAUUCCUAGGUACCAGUUUUCGUACACUAUCGCCAUCUGAUUUUCUCUUAUGUGCUGAAAAGCUCCACUGCAGCUCUCAAUCCACAAACACUCCAGUCAGCUCCAUUACCAUCCCAUGGAGCUGCUUCCGACUUCGUGCCCUUCAUCUCCCUUCCUGCAUCUUUCCUGUGCCCCUAUUUUUCGUACAGCACUGCCCCUUCUCUCCACAAAUAGCAGCACUCUUGGUUUGCCAUUGGAAGCAGACUUCCUGUGGCUCCCUGUCUCAUCAGCUUCUCGUUUCAAGUAAUUUAAAAUGUAAUUUAAAAUCUCUCUAUUUCCUCCAGACUAUUAAUUUCUCUCUCCUUACUCUUCUAUAGAUGUCAUUCUGUGUUGCACUAUUCAGUAAGACUGUUGUAAAAACCUGCCACAGUGUUUUUAUUCUGUAUUCUUGUUUUGGGUUAUAAUUUUUAAUGAUUCUUUGUAGGAAAGAUGAAAGCUCAGCACAGCAUCUAACCACAGCACAAGCAGUCACACAGGACAUUCCGGCAUUUGCAUUGCCUUUGUUCCACUCUUCUCCUGCGGCAUUUAGAACUGUAGAGGGAAUGCUGUGAGUGGCCUAAGAGUAUAUAAGUGUGGUAGCAGGAAGAGAAUUAGUUCUGGAAAUUGGGGAGUGUGAGGCAGGAAGCUGCAUUCAGUCCUGAUCCUGGGACGUGCUGAGCCCUCAUAGCUCUCGCUACUCUCAGCCAGAGAUUAAAGAACUCACCACCCUGCAAACGUGGCCUUCUUACACUGGCCACUUCUUUCUGGGCAGAACGUGCCCCUCUGCUGUUGUCACUUGGAACCAAACUUGUCAAAGCUGCAGAAAUACGUAAUAAAGACAACAGUCCUGAA